AAGAAGUAGUCUGUUUCCAAGGUGGCCUCCUGCUACCCUCUCAAAGGGUAUCAAGGGGAGGGAAGCUCCAUCUGCAGUAGUGUGGUUUCAGAUAAUUCCUCUUAGGAGACUGUAUACAAGAAAGCAAAAGGCUCUGUGCACUCCUGGCCACCCUGGUAAGCCAGCCCAGGGUAACAGUGCAGUGUCUUCUCUGGGUGGGAAGAGGAUUUUACCAUCUUGUCUUCUGGUUCUGCCUAGCUUAUUCCUAUUGCCACUACUAGUAAGUUCAUAACACCAGAGUUUUUGUUGUUGUUUUGUGUUUGAGUUGGAACCCACCAUGUGGACCAGGGUGGUAGAACGCCUUAUCCUCCUGCCUAAGUCAGACGACUCAAUGCGGGACUCUAGACAUUUGCCUGGCAAUGGUUAACUCUUCUGUGAAGCCAUAACACUAAGAGCUUCAGCAAAUGAAAAGAAACAGAAUUUAAGGGGUUUUGAUAAUGUGAGAGAAGGCAAGUUCUUUUGAUGAAGACUCCAUCCAUAGCAAUGUUAUUAUCUAGUUAAAUCAACUUAAAUGGAGGGAAUUUUAGAUUUUUUUGUGGGGUUAAUAAGAACCUAAGGCAGGUUCUCACUUUGGAGCCUUGGCUGGCCUAGACGGAGCUCAUUACGUAGACCAGGCUAACCUCUAAAUCACAGAGAACUUCCUGCUUCUGCCUACUGAGCUACAGCAUUAAAAGGCAUCACCACCAUACUCAGCUUUUCCUUCUGACUUUUAAGUCUGUUUACAUCAACAGAAAAAACCAGACACGUUUCACUAAACUAAGAACCAGGAGGAAGUAGCACUCUAUUCUCUCUUACUGCUGUUGGUGACUGUCUAGUUUCAAAUACACCAACUAGCCAAGCCUGCAGAGCGCUGGUCUCCCAGACCUGCACCAGGUCCCAAGGGAGGGAAUCUUCUGUUGGAGGUUGGUGAUACAGUUUCUUGACACAGCAUUAACAGAGCAAAAGACAGCUAAUUCACCAACACCAAAAUACUUGGGUGUUCAGUUCAUUAAAAUAUUUGAAACACAAAGCUAAGAAGACAUAUUAUUUUCAAAAACAAAAAAAGAACAGAUAACUUUCAAAUUAAGAACAUUGUUUCUAGGAGGGAGUGCAAAGGGAGAACAUAGGUCUGUGUAUCUCAGAUGUACCUACAUUUCCUUUCAAUAUUAUAGCCAAUACUUUCCCAAUCUGUAAACACACAAAACCUUGUAAGUUCAUAUGGGGAGUACCCAACCUCUUUUUAAACACACAAUUUAACAAUAGUAUGCUGACAUUGUUAAGUACAUCCAAAUCAUUACCACUGAACGUCUAAGUAAGCACUCACACAUAAAACUUAAGGGAAAAAAAAAAGCAACAGCCGAAGAAAGAUUACAUCAUGAGGUAGUCAUAGCACCAUCCUGUUCUGGCAAAGAAAGUAAAAAUAAGGAGGCCAACUAAUUUCAUGACCUUGUAGAACAUCAGAAACGUCCUGAAAUCAAGACGGGCAUCUUUGUUGGCGUCAUGGCUGAUGCCUGUGAUCCUUAGUUCCAUAAAAGGUUUCAGGCCACCCUGAACUUCAGAACCCAUUUCAAAACAAGACAGAACACAAAAAA
rnacentral:sRNA from 1 species